rnacentral:rRNA from 1 species
CGUUAGUUGCCAUCUGGUAAUGCAGGGGACUCUAGCGAAACUGCCACCGUAAGGUGAGAGGAAGUGGGGAUGACGUCAAAUCAGCAGGCCCUUAUGUCCAGGACUACACACGUGUUACAAUGGUCGGUACAGAGGGCAGCUACCUGGUGACAGGAUGCUAAUCUCGAAAACCGGUCUCAGUUCGGAUCGAAGUCUGCAACUCGACUUCGUGAAGCUGGAUUCGCUAGUAAUCGCGCAUCAGCUAUGGCGCGGUGAAUACGUUCCCGGGCCUU